GGCCUUUUGAUAAUAAUUUUAGGUCUAACCUGCCCAGUGAGGAGUUUAACGGCCGCAGUAUUUUGACUGUGCUAAGGUAGCAUAAUCAUUAGUUUUUUAAUUAAAAGCUUGUAUGAAUGGUUGAAUGAAAAAAAUUCUGUCUCUAAAUUAUUUUUAUUGAAUUUUAUUUUUAAGUAAAAAAGCUUAAAUUUUAUUAAAAGACGAGAAGACCCUAUAGAGUUUUAUAUAAUUUUAAUUUUUAAAAUUUGGGUAUAUUUAUUAAAAUUUAAAAUUAUAUUUAAUUGGGGUGAUUUAAAAAUUAAAUAAACUUUUAUUAAAUAAAACCAUAAAUUUAUGAAUAUUUGAUCCAUUAAUUAUGAUUAAAAGAAAAAAUUACCUUAGGGAUAACAGCGUAAUUUUUUUUGAGAGUUCUAAUUAAAAGAAAAGAUUGCGACCUCGAUGUUGGAUUAAAAUUAAUUUUUGGUGAAGAAGCUAAAAAUUUUGGGUCUGUUCGACCUUUAAAAUUUUACA
rnacentral:rRNA from 1 species